CGGUGAUUGCUUCUUCGGGUUGGUUCUGUUAACGUCGAGUUUGUGAGGACCCGUUCGUCUACGUCCGUUUUUCUUCUUCAUGGACUCGUUCUUCUUCCUUGCGGGAUCUCAGGCAAGAUGAUCAUACCCUCGAAAUCACUACUAUCUUUGCUAUGCUAGUUUGCUCGCUCUUUUGCUAUGCCAAUGCUAUGAUGCCUACCUUUUGCUUGUCAGCCUCCCAAUUGCCAUGUUGAACCUCUAACCCACCAUGUACUAGCAAACCGUUGAUUGGCUAUGUUACCGCUUUGCUCAGCCCCUCUUAUAGCGUUAUUAGUUGCAGGUGAAGAUUUGAAGUUUGUACCUUGUUGGAACAUGGAGAUGUUGUUCCUUGUUGGAACAUUUGUUUACUUGUUGGGAUAUCACAAUAUAUCUUAUUUAAUUAAUGCAUCUAUAUACUUGGUAAAGGGUGGAAGGCUCGGCCUUAUGCCUGGUGUUUUGUUCCACUCUUGCCGCCCUAGUUUCCGUCAUAUCGGUGUUAUGUUCCCGGAAUUUGCGUUCCUCACGCGGUUGGGCUAUAAUGGGAACCCCUUGACAGUUCGCCUUAAGUAAAGCUUUUUCAGCAAUGCCCAACAUUGGUUUUACCAUUUGCCACCUAGCCUCUUUUUCCCUUGGGUUUCGCGGACUCAAGGGUCAUCAUUAUUUUACCCCCCUGGGCCAGUGCUCCUCUGAGUGUUGGUCCACCUGUCAGCUGCCGGUGGCCACCAGGGGCAACUCUGGGCUGGCCUACCCGUACCUAAGACAAUCUGAGUGUGACCUGAGAAAGAGAUAUGUGCAGCUCCUAUCGGGAUUUUUCGGCACAUUCCGGCGGUGUUGCUGGUUUAGUUUUACCCUGUCGAAAUGUCUUGUUGUACCGGGAUACCGAGUCUGAUCGGAACGUCUCAGGUGGAGGUCUAUUCCUUCGUUGACCGUGAGAGCUUGUUAUGGGCUAAGUUGGGACACCCUGUAGGGAUUGAACUUUUGAAAGCCGUGCCCGUGGUUAUGGGCAGAUGGGAAUUUGUUAACGUCCGGUUGUAGAAAACCUGAACUUGACCUUAUUUAAAAUGCAUCAACAGCGUGUGUAACCGUGAUGGUCUCUUUCCGGCGGAGUCCGGGAAGUGAACACGGUUGUUGGAGUUAUGCUUGACGUAGGUUGUUAUAGGAUCACUUCUUGAUCAUACUUUUAUCGACCGUGCUUUGCCUUCUCUUCUCGCUCUCAUUUGCGUAUGUUAGCCACCAUAUAUGCUAGUCGCUUGCUGCAGCUCCACCUCAUACUUUUACCUUACCCAUAAGCUUAAAUAGUCUUGAUCGCGAGGGUGCGAGAUUGCUGAGUCCCUGUGGCUCACAGAUACUUCCAAAACCAGUUUGCAGGUGCCAAUGAGUUCGUGCAGAUGACGCAACCAAGCUCAGGAGGAGCUCGAUGAAGAUCUUGUCCUUUGUCUUGUUUCGUUCUAGUUGAUCAGUAGUGGAGCCCAGUUGGGGUCGAUCGGGACCUUUGUCGCAUUUAGGGUUCUUCUUUUAUUUUGGUUCCGUAGUCGGACCUUGAUUGUAUUUGGAUGAUGUAAUGCUUUAUUCAUGUAAUUGUGUGAAGUGGCGAUUGUAAGCCAACUAUGUAUCUCUUUCCUUAUUUAUUACAUGGGUUGUGUGAAG
rnacentral:lncRNA from 1 species